GACGAACGCUGGCGGCGUGCUUAAUACAUGCAAGUCAACGACUUUUAGAGUAGCAAUAUUCUAAAGGAAGUGGCGCACGGGUGAGUAACACGUAGGUAAUCUGCCUUCAGGACUGACACAACUCGUCGAAAAGACGGGCUAAUAUCAGAUAAUGCAGCGGCUCCGCAUGGAGACAGUUGUUAAAGUACAAGCGCCUGAAGAUGAGCCUGCGGUCCAUUAGCUAGUUGGUAGAGUAAAAGCCUACCAAGGCAACGAUGGAUAGCUGGUCUGAGAGGAUGAUCAGCCACACUGGAACUGAGACACGGUCCAGACUCCUACGGGAGGCAGCAGUAAGGAAUAUUGCUCAAUGGCCGAAAGGCUGAAGCAGCAACGCCGCGUGAAGGAUGAAUGGCCUUUGGCCUGUAAACUUCUGUAAAAGGAAAACAGUACAGGUAUACCCUGAUUUGAUUGUACCUUUGAAGUAAG
rnacentral:rRNA from 1 species